UUCUCUGAGGCAGUCUACCAACCUGCCCCUCUGAGUGAGAAGGCACCGCCAGAUACAUUUGUAGUACAGAUCAGAGUGUUGUACAAUGUCCCUGUGGUAUACAGUAUUAUAUCUGGUGAUCAAAAUGGGUAUUUUAUUAUUGAUCCAUCCACUGGUAUCAUAAGAACAAGAAAGAAUUUGACUGUAGAACAUUUUCCAGUCUCUUUCAAAGUGCAAGCAACAGAUUCAUCUAACUCUAAUAUAUAUAAUCAAGUUUCUGUGAAUGUAGAAAUCAUUGAUGAAAAUGAUUUCGCUCCAGUUUUCCCAUCGUCUGUAGUAGAAGAAAAACUGGAAGAGAAUUUACCCGCUACUCAGAUUGUGCAGCUGAAAGCUCAGGAUAAUGAUGCAGGCAGAAAUGGUUUCCUAACAUAUGG